rnacentral:rRNA from 1 species
UACGAAGGGGGCUAGCGUUGCUCGGAAUGACUGGGCGUAAAGGGCGCGUAGGCGGCUCAUACAGUCAGGCGUGAAAUUCCUGGGCUCAACCUGAGGACUGCGCUUGAGACGUGUGGGCUUGAGUGGGGAAGAGGGUCGUGGAAUUCCCAGUGUAGAGGUGAAAUUCGUAGAUAUUGGGAAGAACACCGGUGGCGAAGGCGGCGACCUGGUCCUUGACUGACGCUGAGGCGCGAAAGCGUGGGGAGCAAACAGG